rnacentral:tRNA from 1 species
GCCUCGGUGGUGUAGCCUGGGAACACGUCGGCCUGUGGAGCCGAAGACCCCGGGUUCAAAUCCCGGCCGAGGCCCCA